ACUGAACGCUGGCGGCAUGCCUUACACAUGCAAGUCGAACGGCAGCACGGGGCAACCUGGUGGCGAGUGGCGAACGGGUGAGUAAUGCAUCGGAACGUACCUUUCAGUGGGGGAUAACGUAGCGAAAGUUACGCUAAUACCGCAUAUUCUGUGAGCAGGAAAGCAGGGGAUCGCAAGACCUUGCGCUGAUUGAGCGGCCGAUGUCAGAUUAGCUAGUUGGUGAGGUAAAGGCUCACCAAGGCGACGAUCUGUAGCGGGUCUGAGAGGAUGAUCCGGCAAACUGGAACUGAGACACGGUCCAGACUCCUACGUGAGGCAGCAGUGGGGAAUUUUGGACAAUGGGGGCAACCCUGAUCCAGCCAUGCCGCGUGAGUGAAGAAGGCCUUCGGGUUGUAAGGCUCUUUCGGCCGGGAAGAAAUCGCACGGGCUAAUACCCUGUGUGGAUGACGGUACCGGAAUAAGAAGCACCGGCUAACUACGUGCCAGCAGCCGCCGUAACAC
rnacentral:rRNA from 1 species